AUGGUUUUAACCUACCAUAUAGCUUUACCACUCGGCUGGUGCAGAAGAAAUACUUCCUUAGUCGUAACUGGAAUGCCUUAUUCAGAGAAGACAAAGCCUACAAGUUCAGCAUCAAGUUCCACAUUGCAGUGCUGCCUUCACCUGAACAUAGAUAUACUCGUACAUCCUGUUACACUUAAAGCACAGUGUGUCACCACUGAGACUUCAGAGGGCUCCAAGUUCAUCUCCCAAGCUGUAUCUGUACAAGCUGUUCCAUUUUUUUUUUGCCGUCUAUGAUAACAGGUUUUGAAGGACAAUUUUCAGGAGUGCCUUUACUCCCCUGGAUAGUGGCCUUUAUUUGUAAUGUAUUUCUUUCAUACUGUUGAUAUUUAAUUACAAAUCUGAAUCCCUUGUGGGUGUCAUACUAUAGAGCAAAAAUUUAGUUACUCAUGUUGACAGUAUUAAGAAAUAGCUAGACUGGAAAUGCAGUCAAGGGACUUAAGCUCCUUUUUCUCUGUUAUUCUGCUUUCCUUUCUGUGAGAAUUAUAACCUUGACCUUUAUUUUCCAAAUAUUUGGGGGGGGGGGGGAGGUUAAGAGAUUGAGGAGAGGGAUUCAACUAAUGCUUUCUUAGUUUUCGUUAUUAGUGCUUCAUACUGGUAUUCUUGUGGUUAGUCUUCUGAUUAGUGUUAAGAUGGAAAGGGACUGGUUUAACUUCAUACAUGAGUGUGGUGGCUUUAAAUUUGCUGGAUCUGAAUGUUACAUUAUGUGGUCCUCAACUCCUGUGUAGACCUGACUGGUAUUUUACAGUCACUCGUGGCAAGCAGGAUCUCCAGAUCCACUGAGCAGUGUGAAAUAGCAGCUGUUGCCUUGCCAUGAGUGUGGGGCUUUGAGGGGGAGAAGAAGAGGAUGGAGAUGGUUUGUUGUGCUGGCUUUCUUGUUUGUUCGUUCUAACUUGAGUACUGUAUUAUUUGAUCUCUUAGGAGUAAAGUAUGGCUAUAAAGUUGGGUGUUUUUGUUUUUUUUUGAGAUUUGAGUAGUCCUUUUGAAUAGGUUAGAAAAAAAAACAGACAAACUAGUUAAACAUGACUAAACCAUUACUUACAAUUAAGCAAAUACUUAACGCAAAGAUUUUAAGACUCUUUAGGCAUAAGUGUAAACGGUGACAUGAAAUAAGGUGUGCAACUAAAGAACCAAGUAAGGAGAGGGGGACAGAACCGUGGUACAAAUAAAUUCAUGCGCUUCAAAACCA
rnacentral:lncRNA from 1 species